rnacentral:rRNA from 1 species
AAACCAACAGGGAUUGCCUCAGUAACGGCGAGUGAAGCGGCAAAAGCUCAAAUUUGAAAUCUAGCACCUUUGGUGUUCGAGUUGUAAUUUGAAGAUGGCUACCUUGGGUUUGGCUCUUGUCUAUGUUCCUUGGAACAGGACGUCAUAGAGGGUGAGAAUCCCGUCUGAUGAGAUGCCCAUUCCUUUGUAAGGUGCUAUCGAAGAGUCGAGUUGUUUGGGAAUGCAGCUCUAAGUGGGUGGUAAAUUCCAUCUAAAGCUAAAUAUUGGCGAGAGACCGAUAGCGAACAAGUACAGUGAUGGAAAGAUGAAAAGAACUUUGAAAAGAGAGUGAAAAAGUACGUGAAAUUGUUGAAAGGGAAGGGCAUUAGAUCAGACUUGGUGUUUUAUGAUUAUCUUCUCUUCUUGAGUUGUGCACUCGUAUUUCACUGGGCCAGCAUCGAUUCGGAUGGUAAGAUAAGAGCAGUUAAAUGUGGCUCUUCGGAGUGUUAUAGUUUCUGUUGAUAUUACCUGUCUGGAUCGAGGGCUGCGUCUUUGACUAGGAUGCUGGCGUAAUGAUCUAAUGCCGC